ACAAGUAGCAAAAGAAAGACUUGUGCCAAAACCUUGAGAAGACUUUGGUGAAGGAUUAAAAAGACAAAGCAAAUUCAACAAUGGCUGACCCUGUAACUGGUGCUACAAUUCAAGUUUUGCUUGAAAAACUUCUUUCUCUCACUAUUGAGAAAGUAAGGCCGGAUUGCAACAAGCAUCUCAGAAGGAUGACACAAAACGUAUCUAUUAUUCAAGAUUUCAUUCAUGAUGCUCAAAGACGACAAGUUGAUGACGAAGAUCAAGCAGUGGGAAAUGGCUCAUGAUGCUUGAGAGAUUUUGUGAAGAUGCUGAGAAUGUGCUUGAUAAUUCCUAUAUGAAUCUCUACAAGAACAAGCUCAAAACAGUCCAAUGAGGAAGGUUACUAGUUCCAAGGUCAUGCUAGAAUGUUGAUGUGGUAAAUCAAGCCAAAUCCCAUGAGCGGCAGGCAUUACAGUAGGUUCUAUGAAGAAGAUAAUGAAUGAUGGGGCACCAUUGAAAUUUGUUUAUGAGGUAUCAGAUUGACACAUUUUGCUUCAGUGGUGCUUGUGGUUGCAGGAACAUUGAAAGUUCAAGGUAAGUUCCUUGUCUCAUGGUUUCAAUGACUUUGCUUUCUAAGCUUUUAAAUGUUCCAUUCUAUCAUGCAUUACAUGUGUUAAGCCUACUAUGAUAUUGCGUCUACGUUUAUGCAUAUUUUCUCAUACUUAGUACAUUCGAUGUACUAAUGCAUACAUGUGCCUAUAUUGUUUCAUAAUAUAGGGUCUAACGUUCCUCCUCCUGCUCGUGUCUAGAUUCGGAUUGCUAUUCGCUAUAGUAUUGGUGAGUCCUCAUACUUUGAGGAAAAAUCCUUGAAGAUCAUUUAUUGCUUUUAUUGUUUACUCUUGAGAAUUUGUACGUAGUGUAUGGUUUACAUUCCUACCUCUCUUAUGAUGUUUAAUAAUGGUUUGUCAAGACAUAGUUAUAAUUCGGCAUAUGAGACGUCUUACUUAAACUCUCUUAUUGUAUGUAUGUCAAGUGGCUUAUGUAGGACCCUCUUAGGGUCCUAUACGUCAUGGUCUUAUCCUCAAUUGAGUCGACACACUUAUUCCUAUGGCCUGACGCCCCGAGAGAUUCAUUUUUGCUUCGAGGUACGGGCUUUGUACGCUUUAGAUGGGUUGUUCUUGUUGGUUACUUGAAGGUCAUUCACGGUUAGAGGUCUGGUCUACGCCUUCUCUGGAUCUGGACUUGCCGUAUCUCAUUUUAGUAAAUUUAAUUUAUCUGUGUACCUAAUGGGCUUAUAAAGUUCUAUUUGGGUUUUACUUAAACUUACCGAUGAGUGUAUCUUCUGGGCUUAUGGUGUAACAUUUAGGAUUUCAAAAAGGAAAUAGAUUGCAGGAGUUUUGGCUACUGAUUCAGGUCUGCGAGACCAAUCUACGGUUCGUAAAACUUCUUAUGGGUUGUAGACUAGUCUCAUAGAAAGGGGAAAAUAAACAAAAAUAUUUUAUUAUUUUCAUUAAUGAUUUUUCAUA